rnacentral:rRNA from 1 species
CCUACGGGUGGCUGCAGUGGGGGAUAUUGCACAAUGGGGGAAACCCUGAUGCAGCGACGCCGCGUGGGGGAAGGAGUGCUUCGGCAUGUAAAGCUCUAUCGGCAGGGAAGAAGCAAGACGGUACCUGACUAAGAAGCCCCGGCUAACUACGUGCCAGCAGCCGCGGUAAUACGGAGGGGGCGAGCGUUAUCCGGAUUCAAUGGGCGGAAGGGGAGCGUAGUCGGCCAGGAAAGCCAGGGGUGAAAGCCCGGGGCCCAACCCCGGGACUGCCCUUGCAACUGCAUGGCUGGAGUGCGGGAGGGGCAGGCGGAAUUCGUGGUGUAGCGGUGAAAUGCGUAGAUAUCAGGAGGAACACCGGCGGCGAAGGCGGCCUGCUGGACCGCGACUGACGUUGAGGCUCGAAAGCGUGGGGAGCGAACAGGAUUAGAUACCCUUGUAGUC